AAAGUGUUUUCAUUUCAAUCCCAAAGAAGGGCAAUGCCAAAGAAUGUUCAAAUUGCACAAUCGCACUCAUUUCACAUGCUAGCAAGGUCAUGCUCAGAACCCUCCAAGCUAGGAUUCAAUAGUAUAUGAACCGAGAAUUUGCAGAUAUAUACAAGCUGGAUUUAGAAAAGGCAAGAGGAACCAGAGAUCAAACUGCCAACAUCCAUUGGAUCAUAGAAAAAUCAAGAGAGUUCCAGAAAAACAUCUACUUCUGGUUUAU